GACAGCAGCAGCCACGGUAAUACGUAGGGUGCAAGCGUUAAUCGGAAUUACUGGGCGUAAAGCGCACGUAGGCGGACUUUUAAGUCAGGGGUGAAAUCCCGGGGCUCAACCCCGGAACUGCCUUUGAUACUGGAAGUCUUGAGUAUGGUAGAGGUGAGUGGAAUUCCGAGUGUAGAGGUGAAAUUCGUAGAUAUUCGGAGGAACACCAGUGGCGAAGGCGGCUCACUGGACCAUUACUGACGCUGAGGUGCGAAAGCGUGGGGAGCAAACAGGAUUAGAUACCCCCGUAGUCCCUGUCUCUUAUAC
rnacentral:rRNA from 1 species